CAAUAGCGUAUAUUAAAGUUGUUGCGGUAAAAAGCUCGUAGUUGGAUUUCUGUUGAGGACGACCGGUCCACUCCAUGAGUGCGCAUCUGGUUCGGCCUCGGCAUCCUCUCGAUAGACGUUACUGCGCUUGAUUGCGUGGUGCGGAUUUCGGGACUUUACUUUGAGGAAAUUAGAGUGUUCACGGCAGGCUUUCGCCCGAAUAUAUUAGCAUGGAAUAAUACUAUAGGAUCUUGGUCCUAUUUUGUUGGUUUCUAGGAUGAGAUAAUGAUUAAUAGGGACAAUUGGGGGCAUUUGUACUGACAAGUCAGAGGUGGAAUUCUUGGAUUUUGUCAUGACAAACUACUGCGAAAGCAUUUGCCAAGGAUGUUUUCAUUGAUCAAGAACGAAAGUACGGGGAUCGAAGAUGAUUAGAU
rnacentral:rRNA from 1 species